GGAGCAUUGCUAUGUUGGUGAGCGUGCCACCAGAUACUUGACAUGGAGAAUCAAAACUAUACAGAGAGGCAUUGCUAAAGAACAAGGAGUAUCAUUUGAAGGAAAAGGAUUGUCUUGUCAAGGCCAGAAAAGGUGUCUACAUCUCAAGUGGGGAUUAUCUUGUCUUCUAGAAGAGUGAAACAAGCAUUGAGGAGCAUCUUCAAGACAUCGCUGGAAGUGCUCAGUCCUAUCACCUGGCUGUUGAAACGGAGAAUUCAGUUCACCAGUUCUUCAUUCUUGAUCAGCAUGUCAUUCCAUGCAAGUCAGCCUCUUCUUUUGUUGCCUUUUGAUGAAAUGUUUUAAUGGGAUUAUGUUUAAUGGGUUUAAUUCACCUAAAAAUGAGAAUUCUGUCAUUAACUCUCCCUCAUGCCGUUCCAAACCCGUAAGACCUUCGUUCAUCUUUGAAACAACAAUGAAGAUAUUUUAAUGAAAUCUGAAAGUUUUCUGUCCCUCUGUUGACAGUUUACACAACUAGCACAUUCAAGGCCCCGACAGGUAGUAAUGAGACAUUAAAGUAAUCCAUGUUACUCUGUUGGUUUAACCUCAACUUUAUACACGCAUUCACACAACGACUGCUUUCAUUUCAGCAAAUCACUCAUGCGUCGUGGUGCUCUCAUGUACGCAAGUCCGGUUUUGCGUUGCUUCAUAAAACUGAAGUUAAAUCAACAGAGUCACAUGGGUAACUUUAAUGAUGUCUUUACUGCCUUUCUGCACCUUGAAAG